rnacentral:rRNA from 1 species
GUAACGGUUUUAAAUGUGAGUAAUGUGUGGGAAACUGGCUGAUGGGGGGGGAGAAAUACCGGAAACGGGUACUAAUACCGUAUAUGUUUCCUGGACCAAAGAGGGGGACCUUCGGGCCUCUUGCCAUCAGAUGUGCCCAGAUGGGAUUAGCUAGUAGGUGGGGUAACGGCUCACCUAGGCGACGAUCCCUAGCUGGUCUGAGAGGAUGACCAGCCACACUGGAACUGAGACACGGUCCAGACUCCUACGGGAGGCAGCAGUGGGGAAUAUUGCACAAUGGGCGCAAGCCUGAUGCAGCCAUGCCGCGUGUAUGAAGAAGGCCUUCGGGUUGUAAAGUACUUUCAGCGGGGAGGAAGGCGUUGAGGUUAAUAACCUCAGCGAUUGACGUUACCCGCAGAAGAAGCACCGGCUAACUCCGUGCCAGCAGCCGCGGUAAUACGGAGGGUGCAAGCGUUAAUCGGAAUUACUGGGCGUAAAGCGCACGCAGGCGGUCUGUCAAGUCGGAUGUGAAAUCCCCGGGCUCAACCUGGGAACUGCAUUCGAAACUGGCAGGCUAGAGUCUUGUAGAGGGGGGUAGAAUUCCAGGUGUAGCGGUGAAAUGCGUAGAGAUCUGGAGGAAUACCGGUGGCGAAGGCGGCCCCCUGGACAAAGACUGACGCUCAUGUGCGAAAGCGUGGGGAGCAAACAAGAUUAGAUACCUCUGAUAGUCCACGCCGUACACGAUGUCGACUUGGGAGGUUGUGCCCUUUGAGGCGUGUCUUCCGGAGCUAACGCGUUAAGUCGACCGCCUGGGGAGUACGGGCCGCAAGGUUAAAACUCAUGAUGAAAUUGACGGGGGCCCGCACGAGCCGCUGGCAGCAUGUGGAUUUAAUUGCUGAUGCUAUCGCGAAGAACCUUACCAUACUCUUGACAUCCAUGAGACUUACCAGAGAUGC